rnacentral:rRNA from 1 species
AUACGGAGGGUGCGAGCGUUGUUCGGAAUCAUUGGGCGUAAAGCGCGUGUAGGCGGUCGAUUAAGUCUGGUGUGAAAGCCCGGGGCUCAACCCCGGAAGUGCACUGGAUACUGGUCGGCUAGAGGAUGAGAUAGGAAAGCGGAAUUCCUGGUGUAGGGGUGAAAUCCGUAGAUAUCAGGAGGAACAUCAGUGGCGAAGGCGGCUUUCUGGCUCAUUUCUGACGCUCAGACGCGAAAGCGUGGGGAGCAAACAGG